rnacentral:lncRNA from 1 species
ACAUCCGGUUGACUUUUCCAACUUAAGCCUUCUUAAAAGAGACUAAGUGUCUCAUUUCUUACCAAAUCCUCUCCGAACUCGAACUAAUCAACUCGAUCACAUAAAAUACGGAUAACGAAGCAUAAAGAAGCUGAAAUGGGGGAAAUGGAGAGGUAACUCAUGAGACGACUAGCCGGGUCGUCACACUUUAGGAUAUGAAUUGAACCAUUAGGGUAUGAAUUGAAAUUUUUGUAUAUAAAUUGAACUAUUAGGAUAUGAAUUGAACCUUUAGGAUAUGAAUUGGAUUUUUAGUUUAUGUAUUGUAAUUUAAGUUUAUAAAUUUAAAUUUUAGGAUAUGAAUUGAACUUUUGUGGAUAUGAAAUGAAAUUUUAGGAUAUGAAUUGAACCUUUAGGAUAUGAAUUGAAAUUUUUGUGUAUGAAUUGAACUUUUAGGAUAUGAAUUGAGCCUUUAGGAUAUGAAUUGAACCUUUAGGAUAUGAAUUGGACUUUUAGUUUAUGUAUUGGAAUUUUAGUUUAUAAAUUGAAAUUUUAGGAUAUGAAUUGAAAUUUUAUGGAUAUGAAUUGAACUUUUAGGGUAUGAAUUGAAAUUUUUGUGUACGAAUUAAACUUUUAGGAUAUGAAUUGAGCCUUUAGGAUAUGAAUUGAACCAUUAGGAUAUGAAUUGAACUGUUAGGGUAUGAAUUGAAAUUUUUGUGUAUGAAUUGAACUUUUAGGAUAUGAAUUGAGCCUUUAGGAUAUCAAUUGAACAUUUAGGAUAUGAAUUGGAUUUUUAGUUUAUGUAUUGGAAUUUUAGUUUAUAAAUUGAAAUUUUAGGAUAUGAAUUGAAAUUUUGUGGAUAUGAGUUGAACCUUUAGGAUAUGAAUUGAACUUUUAGGGUAUGAAUUGAAAUUUUUGUGUAUGAAUUGAACUUUUAGGAUAUGAAUUGAGCUUUUAGGAUAUGAAUUGAACCUUUAGGAUAUGAAUUGAGCUUUUAGGAUAUGAAUUGAACCUUUAGGAUAUGAACUGGACUUUUAGUUAAUAAAUUAAAUUUUUAGGAUAUGAAUUGAACUUUUGUGGAUAUGAAUUGAACCUUUAGGAUAUGAAUUGAAAUUUUUGUGUAUGAAUUGAGCCUUCAUGACAUGAAUUGGACUUUUAGUUUAUGUAUUGGAAUUUUUGUUUUAAAUUGAAAUUUUAGGAUAUGAAUUGAUCUUUUAUGGAUAUGAGUUGAACCUUAAGAUAUGAAUUGAAUCUUUAGGAUAUGAAUUGAAAUUUUUUU